UGUCCGUCGUUGUAAUCAAAAAACGAUCCCGACGAACCGCUUACAAUUGCAGGUAUAGCGGUAUAGCUUACUUGAAUUCAGGCAUUCAGCGUACAACUAAGCACUCGUUUUCGCAAGAAAAACAUCAAAAACAAGCUUCAAAGUGAUGAGCCAACAUGAUGGAUGAUAAGGGCUGCGGGCAAACAACGGAAACAGGCUCGGCGCGGUCCAUUAGAUUAGAUUGCAGCUGUUGCAAAGCUUAUGCAGCUGCUUGAAAGAGGGUUGACGUCAUUCGAAACCCUUCCAGCCUAGUAACUGCUUCGGUUCAUUUUCUAGACUACCCCACUAUUGGGUAGGCACUCGUGUGCUUCACCAAUGCAAAACAACCAACCACCAUUCGCGGAACGUGCAUUGAUUUAACCUUGGCAAAGAAUGUAACUACAGUGAAAACUGAAAAUUUGAGUGUAUAUCACACCGAUCAUAAAGCAGUAGUGAACAUUGUUGUGAAGUAAAUAAUAAUAAAGGCCGUGGUUAAAGUUA